CCUACGGGAGGCAGCAGUGAGGAAUAUUGGUCAAUGGACGGAAGGCUGAACCAGCCAAGUAGCGUGAGGGAAGACGGCCCUAUGGGUUGUAAACCUCUUUUAUGCGGGGAUAAAGGCGGCCACGUGUGGAUGUUUGCAGGUACCGGAUGAAUAAGGAUCGGCUAAUUCCGUGCCAGCAGCCGCGGUAAUACGGAGGGUCCGGGCGUUAUCCGGAUUUAUUGGGUUUAAAGGGAGCGUAGGCGGUUCUUUAAGUUAGCCGUGAAAUCUUGUGGCUCAACCAUGGGCGUGCGGCGGAAACUGGAGAGCUUGAGUGCGCGGGAGGCAGGCGGAAUGCGUGGUGUAGCGGUGAAAUGCUUAGAUAUCACGAAGAACCCCGAUUGCGAAGGCAGCCUGCCGGCGCCUUACUGACGCUGAGGCACGAAAGCGCGGGUAUCGAACAGGAUUAGAUACCCCUGUAGUC
rnacentral:rRNA from 1 species